AUAAUACUCCAUAGAUUAGAGACACUGGAAUGUUCUUUAGUCGAAAGUUCUGGCGCCUUAGGAUGGAUCUGCGGUCGAUUAGGUUGUUGUUGGGGUAACGGCCCAACAAGCCUGUAAUCGAUACGGGUUGUGGGAGCAAGAGCCCGGAGAUGGAAUCUGAGACACGAUUCCAGGCCCUACGGGGCGCAGCAGGCGCGAAAACUUUACAAUGCAGGAAACUGUGAUAAGGGAACUCCGAGUGCCCGUAUACGCGGGCUGUCCAGGUGUUUAAAAAUCAUCUGAAGAAAGGGCCGGGCAAGACCGGUGCCAGCCGCCGCGGUAAUACCGGCGGCUCGAGUGGUGGCCACUAUUAUUGGGCUUAAAGCGUCCGUAGCUGGACCGAUAAGUCUCUUGGGAAAUCCGCCGGCUCAACCGGCGGGCGUCUAAGGGAUACUGUUAGUCUAGGGACCGGGAGAGGUGAGAGGUACUCCGGGGGUAGGAGUGAAAUCCUGUAAUCCCCGGGGGACCACCGAUGGCGAAGGCAUCUCACCAGAACGGCUCCGACAGUGAGGGACGAAAGCUGGGGGAGCGAAUCGGAUUAAAUACCCGGGUAUUCCCAGCCGUAAACUAUGCGCGUUAGGUGU
rnacentral:rRNA from 1 species